GUGAGGAAUUUUCCGCAAUGGGCGAAAGCCUGACGGAGCAAUGCCGCGUGAAGGAUGAAGGCCUAUGGGUUGUAAACUUCUUUUCUCAGAAAAGAAUUAUGACGGUAUCUGAGGAAUAAGCAUCGGCUAACUCUGUGCCAGCAGCCGCGGUACGACAGAGGAUGCAAGCGUUAUCCGGAAUGAUUGGGCGUAAAGCGUCUGUAGGUUGAUUAAAAAGUAUUCUGUCAAAGAUUAGGGCUUAACCCUAGAUAGGCAGAAUAAACUUUUAAGCUAGAGUUUGGUAGAGGCAGAGGGAAUUCCCGGUGGAGCGGUGAAAUGCGUAGAUAUCGGGAGGAACACCAAAGGCGAAGGCACUCUGCUGGGCCAAUACUAACACUGAGAGACGAAAGCGAGGGGAGCAAAUGGGAUUAGAUACCCCGGUAGUCC
rnacentral:rRNA from 1 species